rfam:Anisakis simplex genome assembly, scaffold: ASIM_scaffold0003940
GUCCGUCUGGCCGAGUGGUCUAAGGCGCUGCGUUCAGGUCGCAGUCUACUUCGGUAGGCGCAGGUUCGAAUCCUGCGGCGGACA